rnacentral:rRNA from 1 species
UACGUAGGCAGCGGGCGUUGUUCGGAAUUACUGGGCGUAAAGAGUGUGUAGGCGGCGCUCUAAGUUCGGUGUGAAAUCUCUCGGCUUAACUGGGAGGGUGCGCCGGAAACUGGAGUGCUCGAACGUGGGAGAGGAAAGCGGAAUUCCUGGUGUAGCGGUGAAAUGCGUAGAUAUCAGGAGGAACACCUGCGGUGUAGACGGCUUUCUGGACCAUUGUUGACGCUGAGACACGAAAGCGUGGGUAGCAAACAGG